rnacentral:rRNA from 1 species
UGGGGAAUAUUGGACAAUGGGGGCAACCCUGAUCCAGCAAUGCCGCGUGUGUGAAGAAGGUCUUCGGAUUGUAAAGCACUUUCGACGGGGACGAUGAUGACGGUACCCGUAGAAGAAGCCCCGGCUAACUUCGUGCCAGCAGCCGCGGUAAUACGAAGGGGGCUAGCGUUGCUCGGAAUGACUGGGUGUAAAGGGCGUGUAGGCGGUUUACACAGUCAGAUGUGAAAUCCCCGGGCUUAACCUGGGAGCUGCAUUUGAUACGUGUAGACUAGAGUGUGAGAGAGGGUUGUGGAAUUCCCAGUGUAGAGGUGAAAUUCGUAGAUAUUGGGAAGAACACCGGUGGCGAAGGCGGCAACCUGGCUCAUGACUGACGCUGAGGCGCGAAAGCGUGGGGAGCAAACAGGAUUAGAUACCCUGGUAGUCCACGCUGUAAACGAUGUGUGCUAGAUGUUGGGUAACUUUGUUAUUCAGUGUCGCAGUUAACGCG